GUAGGUGGCAAGCGUUGUCCGGAAUUAUUGGGCGUAAAGCGCGCGCAGGCGGUUCUUUAAGUCUGAUGUGAAAGCCCACGGCUCAACCGUGGAGGGUCAUUGGAAACUGGAGAACUUGAGUACAGAAGAGGAAAGCGGAAUUCCACGUGUAGCGGUGAAAUGCGUAGAGAUGUGGAGGAACACCAGUGGCGAAGGCGGCUUUCUGGUCUGUAACUGACGCUGAGGCGCGAAAGCGUGGGGAACAAACAGGGAUUAGAUACCCUGGUAGUCCACGCCGUAAACGAUGAGUGCUAAGUGUUAGGGGGUUUCCGCCCCCUUAGUGCUGCAGCUAACGCAUUAAGCACUCCGCCUGGGGAGUACGGCCGCAAGGCUG
rnacentral:rRNA from 1 species